GGAUAUAGCUCAGUUGGUAGAGUGCUUGCCUUGCCUGGACAAGGGCCUGGGUUUGAGCCCCAGCACCA
rnacentral:tRNA from 1 species